CUCAAAGAGCUUCCGGGAAUACUCGGCCGUAACCAGCCCCUGCAAUGGCCUCGUCUUUGGUGGGCAAGAAGAUCGUGUUUGUGACGGGAAACGCAAAGAAGCUGGAGGAGGUCAUUCAGAUUCUAGGAGAUAAGUUUCCGUGCACUUUGGUGGCACAGAAAAUUGACCUGCCUGAGUACCAGGGAGAGCCUGAUGAAAUUUCCAUACAGAAGUGUCGGGAGGCCGCUCGCCAGGUGCAGGGUCCUGUACUGGUGGAGGAUACCUGUCUGUGCUUCAAUGCCCUCGGGGGACUCCCUGGCCCCUACAUAAAAUGGUUCCUUGAGAAGCUAAAGCCUGAAGGUCUCCACCAGCUCUUGGCCGGCUUUGAGGACAAAUCAGCCUAUGCACUUUGUACAUUUGCCCUCAGCACUGGGGACCCAAGCCAGCCAGUCCUCCUGUUCAGGGGCCAGACCGCGGUGCGUACCCACCUGAGCAGCCAGUCCUCCUGUUCAGGGGCCAGACCGCGGGCCAGAUCGUGAUGCCGCGAGGCUCCCGGGACUUUGGCUGGGAUCCCUGCUUUCAGCCCGAUGGAUACGAGCAAACGUAUGCAGAGAUGCCAAAGGCUGAGAAAAACGCCAUUUCUCAUCGGUUCCGGGCCCUGCUCAAGCUACAAGAGUACUUCAGCGUGACUGCUGGGGCUGGUGGCCAGUAAAGCCGUGGGAUGGGGAGGACUAGUGUAGAGUUCCCCAGGAGGCAGGCACUCCUGGCAGGUGUUUCUCUGGGUUUCCCUCUGCCAGGGGAUCCAGGCAGCUUUAGUAGCCAGGUCUGGAGGAGCAGUUUGCUCAGCAUAGGGGAACUCUGGGCCAGUUGUUACUAAACUCUUGCCCUUUGGGAUUCAUGAGUUUCCUUUGGCCUGGCAUAGUGGUGCACACCUUUAGUCCCAGAAUGUGGGAGGCAGACAGAGCUUUGUGAGUUCAAGGCCAGCCUGGUUUAGAUAGUGAGUUCCAGGGCAGCCAGAGCUACAUAGUGAGAUAUUGUCUCAAAAACAAAACAAAAAAAAGUAGAGUUGCUCUUGUAGCCUCUAGGAUCCUGAGAGAACUUUGGGUGUUCACAUUUCUUAGCUGGGUUGAGGGUUGGCAAAGAAAUACACAACCUUUGAUUUUAUAAGGCAGCAAAUGUAAAUUCUGGAAGGCAUGUUUCCAAAAUAAAUGGUGUAUCUGUUUUGA